GCAUUAAUGGGGUAGUGGUAACCUGGGUCGUUGCCAUUAUUAGACAUCGACCCGCCGGGAGUUCGAUUCUCUCUUAAUGCA